rnacentral:rRNA from 1 species
UAGUCCACGCCGUAAACGAUGGGCACUAGGUGUUGGGAGGUUCGACCCUUUCAGCGCCGCAGCUAACGCAUUAAGUGCCCCGCCUGGGGAGUACGGUCGCAAGACUGAAACUCAAAGGAAUUGACGGGGGCCCGCACAAGCGGUGGAGCAUGUGGUUUAAUUCGAUGCAACGCGAAGAACCUUACCUGGGCUUGAACUGCGGUAGACAUCCUGUGAAAGCAGGCUUUCCUUCGGGACUGCUGUAGAGGUGCUGCAUGGCUGUCGUCAGCUCGUGUCGUGAGAUGUUGGGUUAAGUCCCGCAACGAGCGCAACCCUUAUCCUUAGUUGCCAUCAAGUAAUGUUGGGCACUCUAGGGAGACUGCCUCGGAUAACGGGGAGGAAGGUGGGGAUGACGUCAAGUCCUCAUGGCCCUUACGUCCAGGGCUACACACGUGCUACAAUGGUAGGUACAAAGGGCAGCGACUUCGCAAGGAGUAGCGAAUCCCAAAAGCCUAUCUCAGUCCGG